UAGAUCACAACAUUUCUAUGCAACAAUUACACCCAAUUCCUUUACCCACAAAUGUCAAUUACAUUUUCCCCUCUCUACCUCUCACUUCCUCUUUAUGUUCCCCUCUAUCUAUCCAUCUAUUCAUGUGUUGUGUUAGGGGGGUCUUAUUUGGGGAAGCUACUACUCACUUUACACCAGCAAGGUGUUAAUGAAGCAUAAACGUGGACAAAGGAGAAUGAA
rnacentral:lncRNA from 1 species